rnacentral:rRNA from 1 species
CAGUCGAGCGGAACGAGUUAUCUGAACCUUCGGGGGACGAUAACGGCGUCGAGCGGCGGACGGGUGAGUAAUGCCUAGGAAAUUGCCCUGAUGUGGGGGAUAACCAUUGGAAACGAUGGCUAAUACCGCAUAAUACCUACGGGUCAAAGAGGGGGACCUUCGGGCCUCUCGCGUCAGGAUAUGCCUAGGUGGGAUUAGCUAGUUGGUGAGGUAAUGGCUCACCAAGGCGACGAUCCCUAGCUGGUCUGAGAGGAUGAUCAGCCACACUGGAACUGAGACACGGUCCAGACUCCUACGGGAGGCAGCAGUGGGGAAUAUUGCACAAUGGGCGCAAGCCUGAUGCAGCCAUGCCGCGUGUGUGAAGAAGGCCUUCGGGUUGUAAAGCACUUUCAGUCGUGAGGAAGGUAGUGUAGUUAAUAGCUGCAUUAUUUGACGUUAGCGACAGAAGAAGCACCGGCUAACUCCGUGCCAGC